AAUAUUGUCUCCCACAGGUUCUGGGAGAUUGAAUCCUGAGGGAAUCUUUGGCUGAUGGUGAUAUUGAGUAUGAGUUCCUGGAGCAGCAUUCUCUAUGCCAGACAGUCAGAACGUGCUUGUCAAGAGAGGUGCAUUGAUUGUGAAAUAGGUGCUAUUCUUACCUGUUGGAGAAAAGCAACAAAUUUGCACAUGAAGUCUCCAAAUAUCCAGCCAGGCAGAGGAUAGAGAGUAGCGGUGAACGGCACACAGCAUAGCAGGAAAAUGAUGUCAGUGGCAGCCAAGUUAGCUGAGGAAUUAAAUAUACGUGUAAUCAACGAUCUGUUUCAGAUGAAUAGGUGAGAUGCAGCUGCCAGAGUGCUCCAAUUUGCAGAACUAUACAUUCUGUCUCUUUUAAAAAUCCGUGGAGUUUUUUCCUCUAACGAUUGUUUGGAGAAGUCAAAAACAUCAGUACCCCAGGAAACUGCAAUACCACCGGCUACAAUUCCUCAGUGAGUCUCACUUCAAUCUCAAAGUUAAUGCCAAAGGAAAAUCUAUUCACCCCAUUAAGGCUAAGCCAUUUCUUCCAGCCUUUCCUAAACUUAUUCAUCAGCAUCUCUACAUGUUCCCCUCUGAAUUCAAUCAAGCUGUUCAUGAUGAGGCUACCAGACUGUUGGAAUAUCUGUGGGACAUGUGCAGCCAGGAUCAUGAAUGCAAUGUGUUGAUGGAUGAGGCGAUUCAGUGCUUUUUUCAUUCUUCUAACUAUUGUGACAUAAUGAUUGGUGAGAAUGUAUGCAAGGAGGAAGGGUGAUUUGAUUUGACCCGAGUGUCAUUAUCAUGCAAACAUCACCAGUAUGCAUGAUAUCAUAGUCCUUUUGUAAAUGCAAUUCACAUGCCACAUUUUUGUUGUAAUAAAUAUAUUUCAGGAAUAAUGUACACAUUCUUAGAGUGUAAAAUAGAAUUUUGCUUCCAUAUCCAAUACAUAGCAAACGCACAUGAGAAGGCAUUUUUGAUAUAAGCCGAAUAAUUUGAAUCAACACCUUUUUGAAGUCGUCUUUAGAGACCAGCUUUAGAAAUGUCUUGGAAAAAAAAUCACAGGUUCGAAAUGUACAGAUGGCAAACACGAAAAAAAAAAACAUCUGUCUGCACAUAAACAUUUUCUUUAUGUCAAUACAUCUAAUUAUGAGUAUUUGAUGUCUAUGAAAUACAGAAGUUUUGAAGUGGAUCAAAACCUUUCAUCAAAGUUAGUUCUUAGGACAACUUAGAUGAACUUUUUUUGAUCCACUUCAAAUGUUGACUACUAUAUUUUACAGACCCUGCUCUUUCUUUUCGGUGGUGAAAAGAGCAUAGCCACUUCAACAUAAUUAUUACCAAGGAUUCGUUCAAAUGGAAAUGUGUUGAUGAUCUCACCAAGCACUUACCUGUGUAAAUCAGACCUUCAGGGAUUGCAAUUCACACAAUGAGCUUCUCUGUCUGCAUCAAUUAAGCCAAGUCUGAAAUGACAUUACUCAAAAUGUCUUGUGUCUCUUGAUGGUAGAUGGGGUUUGAAGAGGCCAUGAAACCUGGUGUGUAAGUACUGAAACAUCCUGUGCUUUCAACAGUGGCAUCCAUUUGAUCACUGUGGCUCAGUGGUUUGUUUUAGUUGAAGAGAUGCUGAUUAUAGAAACUAGAGAGACUAUUUAGAUCCUGAAGUGGAAAAAAUGGCUUGUUUAAAAGCUAAAACCAAGAUGAUUUUUUUUUUUUUUUUUUUUUACAUCUUUUCAUGCUGUUAUUGGUAACCAAGGGAAAUGAUGUUCACGUAUACGGCAGGCUAAAUUAGGCUUCUUUCAGAUUUGUCAAGAGUUAGAUAAUUAGUGUUUAUUUUUAUGUGGUUGAUGAUAAUGUGAUGAAAGCACUGGUAAAAUAGGGGGUGAAAUAAUAGUAAUGUUGUCUCUGAUGUCACAAAGUUCUAUAUUCCCAGAGUUCUCUUCUGUCUGAAAUUACAGGCUUUGGUCCACUCAGUGAUGGGAUUGUAAAAUGGGCAAAAAGAGUAAAAGUAGACAUCCAGAAGCCUUCUUGAAGUGAUAAGACUGACGACAUGGUAUUUAAGGUAUUAAAACAUGGUGAAAAGAAUUUCAGACUUUUUUUUUUUUUCAUUUCUGAAGAAAAUCUGAGUGGUGCCUCAGGAUGGUUGCCAAACUCCUAGUUUAUCCAAACAUAGAAAUUAAUUUACUCACCCUCAUGUCAUUCCAAUGACUGACUUUCUUCUAGGGAAUGCAAAAUUAUUGACUUUACAAUGAAAAUUAUUGACUUUACAAUGAAAAUCAUUGGCGUCCAAAACAAUGUUGUUAAAGGGUUAGUUCAUGCAUAUGGUUAAAUGUGGAUUAGCACUGCAUGGACGUUCAGCUGUCCUUCCUGUCUCCCUGUACCAAUGUCUAGGCUUAGGCAUCUUACAUAUGGACAUUGCAGUCCUCAUGCCUCCCUGGAGCAUGACUAUCGCAUGUUCAUGCAGGUGAGCAGAGACCCUGGGCAUCUUUCUUCUGGUGUUUAUCACAGUCAGUAGAAAAGUCUCUUUAGUGUCUUAAGUUAUUUGA